rnacentral:misc_RNA from 1 species
GUCGGCGUUACCUCCGUCUCCUGGGCCCCGUCCACCGCCCCCGGCUCCCUGGUCAGCUCUGGCCAGAACGAUCUCGUCCAUAAACUAGCUUCCGGCGGUUGUGACAACACUGUCAAGGUGUGGAAGUUGUACAACGGGACGUGGAAGAUGGAUUGCUUCCCGGCGUUGCAGAUGCAUACUGAUUGGGUGAGGGAUGUGGCAUGGGCGCCGAAUCUUGGCCUGCCUAAGUCGACGAUUGCGAGUGCGUCGCAGGACGGGACUGUGGUUAUCUGGACG